rnacentral:lncRNA from 1 species
GAACAGGAAGUCUUUGCCUGGAUGUUGAAGGCAGGCCCAUGUCCUUGGAAGCUGGGGAGGAACCUUCCCCUGGGACGGGCCCAGAACACCCCUGAAUUUCUGACUCAGAUGAUCCGUGAAGACUUGUGAGUGAUGGAGCACCAACCAGACAUGAGGAGGCUGCCAUCCCGAUGGCUGGAUCACAUGGCUCUCCCCCCGCCUCGAGCAGGCAUCUCGUCUCCGCAGGUGGACUGUGCGCAGCCGGGCGGGGCUGGGCCUCUCCGCACACAUCUGCGUGUCCCUCAGUGCCAAGCGCAGCUUCCCUCACCACUCAGAGCCAAGCACUCAGUAAGCAGCUGCGUGAUGUGAGAAGCCCCAACCUCCUCACACAACCUCUUGAUGUCUGAGCAG